UACGUAGGGUGCAAGCGUUGUCCGGAAUUAUUGGGCGUAAAGAGCUCGUAGGCGGUUUGUCGCGUCUGCUGUGAAAACUCGGGGCUUAACCCCGGGCCUGCAGUGGGUACGGGCAGACUAGAGUGCGGUAGGGGAGACUGGAAUUCCUGAUGUAGCGGUGAAAUGCGCAGAUAUCAGGAGGAACACCGGGUGGCGAAGGCGGGUCUCUGGGCCGUAACUGACGCUGAGGAGCGAAAGCAUGGGGAGCGAACAGG
rnacentral:rRNA from 1 species